rnacentral:rRNA from 1 species
GACGAACCGUGCGACCGUUGUUCGGAAUCACUGGGCUUAAAGGGCGCGUAGGCGGGCUCACAAGUCAGGGGUGAAAUCCCACGGCUCAACCGUGGAAGUGCCUUUGAUACUGUGGGUCUUGAGGGAGGUAGGGGCGUGCGGAACUUCCGGUGGAGCGGUGAAAUGCGUAGAUAUCGGAAGGAACACCGGUGGCGAAAGCGGCGCGCUGGACCUCUACUGACGCUGAGGCGCGAAAGCCAGGGGAGCAAACGGG